AGGACCUGUGCUUCUUUUUGCUUACCUUGUGGACAAAGACAGGUGUAAAAAAUAAAUCUUUGGCAACCCAGAACUCAUUGUUUGGUAUGAGUUUUGAUACAAAUAAGAAGGAGCAUU
rnacentral:snoRNA from 1 species